AACGAACGCUGGCGGCAGGCCUAACACAUGCAGGUCGAACGCUCGUAGCAAUACGAGAGUGGCAGACGGGUGAGUAACACGUGGGAACCUUCCCUAUGGUUCGGAAUAGCUCAGGGAAACUUGAGGUAAUACCGGAUAAGCCCUUACGGGGAAAGAUUUAUCGCCAUUGGAUGGGCCCGCGUCGGAUUAGCUAGUUGGUGAGGUAACGGCUCACCAAGGCGACGAUCCGUAGCUGGUCUGAGAGGAUGAUCAGCCACACUGGGACUGAGACACGGCCCAGACUCCUACGGGAGGCAGCAGUGGGGAAUAUUGGACAAUGGGCGCAAGCCUGAUCCAGCCAUGCCGCGUGAGUGACGAAGGCCUUAGGGUUGUAAAGCUCUUUUGGCGGGGAAGAUAAUGACGGUACCCGCAGAAUAAGCUCCGGCUAACUUCGUGCCAGCCGCCGCAGUAACAC
rnacentral:rRNA from 1 species